ACUCGGGUCCCGCUCCUGUCUCUCUGAAGAGAAAAUGCCUAGGGUCUAGGACGCACUUGAGUACCUGUUUGCUUUCGAAUUUCUCUUUGAACCACACUCGGGAGUCCAGGUUCCGGGGAAACUCCAGGACCUCCUUCUAACCCACACCGUCUGGGGCCCUACCCAAUGCGUCCUUCCUACACUCCAAUCUUUGUCAAGAGACAGUCAUUACGCAGCAGUCGGUGCUCUGGGAGCCGUCGGUGUUGGCUUUCACCACGCGCUCAGCUGCGCGGGUUGUGUGUUUUCGCAUUUUAUCCUGAGAUGUGGUACGGGCAAUAUACCAGCGGACAGCACAUUUGCGGAGUGCCAGGUACCCUCUAGGCAUACCUGGGGAAAUGUAACCUCACUUUCUACUCUACAACGGGCAGGUUGUCCGUUCAAUUUUAGGAGGUGGAGAAGGGGAGACAGCGCAACUUGGAAUUACAAGGGUGACCUUUAUUCAGCUGUCUCCUUUUCGAUUCUCAUAACUUCUGGAUCUAUCAAGGUAUGUACAUUCAACACUGAAACUUACUUUGGAAAUUGA
rnacentral:lncRNA from 1 species